GGGGAUUUAGCUCAGUGGCAUAAGCACCUGCCUUGCAAGCAGGCAGUCCUGAGUUCGAUCCCAGUAUCGAUA
rfam:Cavia porcellus supercont2_8 genomic scaffold, whole genome shotgun sequence.